GUGACUUCAAAUACAAAUAAAGAAAUUCGUCAGUGGUUGGAACCUAUACUUGUGAGGAUGGAAGAGAAAAUCGGAGGAUUCUUGUGGACCACUUUAUGUCCUUCGAAGUUCAUUAAACUUAUUGAUUGAUCCUAGAGGAUGGCUUGAUGAUGAGGUUAUAGACAAGUAUAGUGAAUUACUGAAGAGUCGACAAAAUAGAGAUAGACCGGAUUUAUUAAAAUGUCAUUUUUUUAAUACCUGGUUUCAUCAAUUUAUAUGUUCAAGGAGAAAUGAUAAGGCAAAAGAAAAGAAAAGUGAAGACACGGAUAAUAGUUUUAGUCGUCAACUUCAACGUGUCUUUGAGACGAUACCUUAUGAUUUAGGGAGUAGAAAUAAAAUUUUUAUUCCUAUGAAUGAAGUAUCACACUGGUGCUUGCUCACUAUUGAUCUGAAGAAAAAAAUAUUUUUAGUUUACAACUCUAUCAAAGGUCAUCAUACA